UCUCCAGAUGCAUUUGAGAUAUCAAAAAAGUACUCCAGAGUGUUGUUCAGCAUGGGGAGAGCGAGGGCGAACCGAGCAGUGAACAUGAUGUCAGUGCGGCUGAGGAGAGACAUGGCGAGAGAGAUGAGAGCAGAGAGCAGGAGGAAAUAGAUUACUUUACCUGUCCUGAUCCUUGUCUUUUACAAAACUUUUUGAAUCACCACCCACAACAAAGGACAAAAAAUCCAGUUGUGCAAAAGGUAUUCACCACUAAAAAUGCAACCAACA